GGCUGGAAGAGCUUGGGCUAAUUGAGCAUUUGGAUUUAUUUUCUGGGCAGCUGUCUUGAUGCAGGCACAAGCAGCCCUCUUAUCAGCAGUGUUUGUUGCAGCAGAUGCAAGAGCUGAGGCUCCUGUACAGCAAGCUGCAGGUGGUGCCCCACUUCCGUUCGUUAGGUAUUUCACACAAGGUCUCAGGUCCUUGAGCACAUCACUGCAUGAAACAGCAGCCUCCGAAGCUGGUGCA
rnacentral:misc_RNA from 1 species